AGUGCUCGAGGGUCCCCUAACCUCUAUAGAAUUUAUUAGGGUUUUCUUUGUAUUUUGCUUUCAUUCUCAUUUCUUCUAUGUUGUUUUGAAUUCCCAUGGCAUGUUUUGACAUGUACAACUCCGAGCACAAAGGUCAUUGCCCUCCAAUGAGCCCAAGAAUCUCUUUCUCCAAUGAUUUUGUUGAUUCUCAGCAGAUUAUCAAGCAAGAGAGAAGCUCAAGAUCAGAGGCCCCAGUGUCCACUGACUUCGAAUUCUCCGUCUCUAACUACUCCAUGAUGAGUGCUGAUGAGCUUUUCUUCAAGGGUAGGCUUUUGCCAUUCAAAGAUAAUGGCAAUAACAAUCAAAUGCAAAGGACUAUCAGAGAUGAGCUUCUUGUUGAUGAUGAUGAUGAUUAUUAUGAAGAUGAAGUGUCCCUGAGGCCACAUAAGGGUUCAACAAGGUGGAAAGGCAUUCUGGGUCUCAAGAGAAGCUACAUUGGCUCCAAGAAAGUUGAUAAGAGUGAUGGGUCCGUGGAGACGGUCGCUGAAAGUAGAAGGCCAGUUUUCUUUCAUGAAGAGGUGCACAUUGGCAAGAGUCCACAGGAGCUUUUAAGUGAAGGAGGGUCAAGUCAUCACAGAGAUGUAGAAAUUGGGAUAUAGGGGGUGGAUCAAUUCUUUUAGGAGAGAAGAAUGGAGAUGAUGAUAUUUUUCUUCUAUUUUUAGCAGAGGUUUGGAUAAAUUUAGAUCUCUUAAUUAAUCUGUGUAAGCUGGUUUCUUUCAAACUUUGAUUAACCUUCUUUCUUCUGUAUUUUUGGAGUUCUAUUGUCCUUAUUAUUCCUUUGGAUCUCCCACAAGUAGUUUGAUGUUUUGGCUGUUUUUCUUUUGUACAAAAUGUUUGCAGUUGAAGAACUUCUUGUAUCCUGUUAAGCACUGAUUGAUAGAUCUGAAGUCAGUUCAUCGUUCUUUUUCUUCAUUU
rnacentral:misc_RNA from 1 species